rnacentral:rRNA from 1 species
UACGUAGGUGGCAAGCGUUGUCCGGAUUACUGGGCGUAAAGAGCGCGCAGGCGUCGUGCAAGUCGCGUGUGAAAGCCCCCGGCUCAACUGGGGAGGGUCACGCGAUACUGCUCGACUCGAAGGCAGGAGAGGGAAGUGGAAUUCCCGGUGUAGUGGUGAAAUGCGUAAAUAUCGGGAGGAACACCAGUGGCGAAGGCGACUUCCUGGCCUGUUCUUGACGCUGAGGCGCGCAAAGCUAGGGUACGCAAACGGG